AGAGUGUGUGAAGCUUUUGAGAAUUGUGGUUGCCUUCCACUGAUAAAGCUCUUGUUGGCACCAAAAAUUGGUUUUGCUUCACGCUGUCUUGAUCAAGAGUGUGUGAAGCUUUUGAGAAUUGUGGUUGAACUCCUUUGAUAAAGCUCUUGUUGGUACCAUAAAUUGGUUUUGCUUCAUACUGUCUUGAUCAAGAGUGUGUGAAGCUUUUGAGAAUUGUGGUUGCCCUCCAUUGAUGAAGCUCUUGUUGGCACCAUAAAUUAGUUUUGCUUCACACUGUCUUGAUCAAAAGUGUGUGAAGCUUUUGAGAAUCAUGGUUGCCCUCCAUUGAUGAAGCUCUACUAUAAAUUGGUUUUGCUUCACACUGUCUUGAUCAAGAGUGUGUGAAGCUUUAGAGAAUUGUGGUUGCCCUCCAUUGAUGAAGCUUUUGUUGGCACCAUAAAUUGGUUUUGCUUCACAUUGUCUUGAUCAUGAGUGUGAAGCUUUCUACGAGUCGUAGUGUUUGCAUUGUUACAGAGGGGAAAUGUUUGAAGUAGAUGCAAGAGGGCUUAAUAGCUUGAUCUUCAUAUG
rnacentral:lncRNA from 1 species